GUGGGGAAUCUUGCACAAUGGGGGAAACCCUGAUGCAGCGACGCCGCGUGAGCGAUGAAGCCCUUCGGGGUGUAAAGCUCUUUCGGCAGGGAAGAUUAUGACGGUACCUGCAGAAGCAGCUGCGGCUAACUACGUGCCAGCAGCCGCGGUAAUACGUAGGCAGCAAGCGUUGUUCGGAGUUACUGGGCGUAAAGGGUGUGUAGGCGGCCUGUUAAGUUCCGUGUGAAAUCUCCCGGCUCAACCGGGAGGGUGCGCGGAAAACUGGCGGGCUAGAGUGCGGGAUGGGAGAGUAGAAUUCCUGGUGUAGCGGUGAAAUGCGUAGAUAUCAGGAGGAAUACCGGUGGUGUAGACGGCUCUCUGGACCGCAACUGACGCUGAAACACGAAAGCGUGGGUAGCAAAC
rnacentral:rRNA from 1 species